rnacentral:antisense_RNA from 1 species
CUUGACCGAACCCAACCACACCGGCCGAUCCUCCGACCGAUUCUGCCCAUAGGUGGCCAGCAACGCCCGCGCCUC